rnacentral:rRNA from 1 species
GUGGAUAAGCUAAUAAGAGCACACGGAGGAUGCCUAGGCGCUAGGAGCCGAAGAAGGACGUGGCGAACGACGAAAUGCCUCGGGGAGCCGUAAGCAGGCAUUGAUCCGGGGAUGUCCGAAUGGGGGAACCCAGCAGUCGUAAUGGACUGUUACCAUCAACUGAAUACAUAGGUUGGUUGGAGGCAUACCCAGGGAACUGAAACAUCUAAGUACCUGGAGGAAAAGAAAACAAUAGUGAUUCCGUCAGUAGCGGCGAGCGAACGCGGAUUAGCCCAAACCAAGGUACUUGUAUCUUGGGGUUGCGGGACAUCGAUAUAUCGAAGUAUUUGUUAGGUGAAGAGGUCUGGAAAGGCCCAUCAGAGAAGGUAACAAUCCUGUAACCAAAAGCGAAUAACAGAUUAGGUGUAUCCCAAGUAGUGCGGGGCACGUGAAACCCCGUAUGAAUCCGGCAGGACCAUCUGCCAAGGCUAAAUACUCCCUAGCGACCGAUAGUGAAGCAGUACCGUGAGGGAAAGGUGAAAAGCACCGCGGGAGCGGAGUGAAAAAGAACCUGAAACCGUGUGCUUACAAAAAGUCAGAGCACUCUUUAUGUGUGAUGGCGUGCCUUUUGUAGAAUGAACCGGCGAGUUACGUUCACGUGCAAGGUUAAGUUGAAGAGACGGAGCCGUAGCGAAAGCGAGUCUGAAUAGGGCGAAUAAGUACGUGGGCGUAGACCCGAAACCGUGUGAUCUACCCCUGUCCAGGGUGAAGGUGAGGUAACACUCACUGGAGGCCCGAACCCACGCAUGUUGAAAAAUGCGGGGAUGAGGUGGGGGUAGCGGAGAAAUUCCAAUCGAACUCGGAGAUAGCUGGUUCUCCCCGAAAUAGCUUUAGGGCUAGCCUCGAGAAUAAGUUGUGGAGGUAGAGCACUGAUUGGGUGCGGGGCCCGCCAAGGGUUACCAAGUCCAGUCAAACUCCGAAUGCCAUAAACUCGAAUCUCGGGAGUCAGACAGUGAGUGCUAAGAUCCAUUGUCGAGAGGGAAACAGCCCAGACCAUCAGCUAAGGUCCCCAAGUGUGUGUUAAGUGGGAAAGGAUGUGGAGUUGCAAAGACAACCAGGAUGUUGGCUUAGAAGCAGCCACCAUUGAAAGAGUGCGUAAUAGCUCACUGGUCGAGUGACUCUGCGCCGAAAAUGUAACGGGGCUAAACACGCCACCGAAGCUAUGGACUCAACACUUAUGGUGUUGUUUGGUAGGGGAGCGUUGUCUAUGCUGAGAAGGUGUACCGUAAGGAGCGCUGGAGAGUAGACAAGUGAGAAUGCCGGUAUAAGUAACGAAAAGACAAGUGAGAAUCUUGUCCGCCGAAAGCCUAAGGGUUCCUGAGGAAGGCUCGUCCUCUCAGGGUAAGUCGGGACCUAACGCGAGGCCGAAAGGCGUAGUGGAUGGACAACUGGUUGAAAUUCCAGUACCACCGUGAACCGUUAUGAGCAAUGGGGUGACGCAGAAGGGGAAAGAUGCAGACGGAUGGAAGUGUCUGUGCAAGCAGUGAGGCUAAAGUGUAGGCAAAUCCGCACUUUGUUAGGCUAGGCUGUGACGCGGAGGGAAAAUUACAGUACCGAAGAUCAUGUACUCAAGCUGCCAAGAAAAGCCUCUAGCCAGGGAGAAGGUGCCCGUACCGCAAACCGACACAGGUGGGCGAGAAGAGUAUUCUAAGGCGCGCGGAACAACUCUCGUUAAGGAACUCGGCAAAAUGACCUCGUAACUUCGGGAGAAGAGGUGCCUCGGUAGGGUGAAUAGCCCGAGGGGGCCGCAGUGAAAAGGCCCAAGCGACUGUUUAGCAAAAACACAGGUCUGUGCGAAGCCGUAAGGCGAAGUAUACGGGCUGACGCCUGCCCGGUGCUGGAAGGUUAAGAGGAGUGGUAAGCCGCAAGGCGAAGCUAUGAAUUGAAGCCCCAGUAAACGGCGGCCGUAACUAUAACGGUCCUAAGGUAGCGAAAUUCCUUGUCAGGUAAAUUCUGACCCGCACGAAUGGCGUAACGACUUGGGCGCUGUCUCAACGAGAGAUCCGGUGAAAUUUUAAUACCUGUGAAGAUGCAGGUUACCCGCGACAAGACGGAAAGACCCCAUGGAGCUUUACUGUAACUUAAUAUUGAAUUUGGGUAUGAUCUGUACAGGAUAGGUGGGAACCUUUGAGACAUGAGCGCCAGCUUGUGUGGAGGUGACGUUGGGAUACCACCCUGAUCCUACCUAGGUUCUAACCUAUGCCCCUGAAUCGGGGCAAGGGACCGUGUUAGGUGGACAGUUUGACUGGGGCGGUCGCCUCCUAAAGUGUAACGGAGGCGCCCCAAGGUUCCCUCAGAAUGGUUGGAAAUCAUUCGAAGAGUGCAAAGGCAUAAGGGAGCUUGACUGCGAGACCAACAAGUCGAGCAGGGACGAAAGUCGGGCUUAGUGAUCCGGUGGUUCCGAAUGGAAGGGCCAUCGCUCAACGGAUAAAAGCUACCCUGGGGAUAACAGGCUUAUCUCCCCCAAGAGUCCACAUCGACGGGGAGGUUUGGCACCUCGAUGUCGGCUCAUCGCAUCCUGGGGCUGAAGUAGGUCCCAAGGGUUGGGCUGUUCGCCCAUUAAAGCGGUACGCGAGCUGGGUUCAGAACGUCGUGAGACAGUUCGGUCCCUAUCUGUCGUGGGCGCAGGAAAUUUGAGAGGAGCUGUCCUUAGUACGAGAGGACCGGGAUGGACGUUCCGCUGGUGUACCAGUUGUUCCGCCAGGAGCAUCGCUGGGUAGCCAAGAACGGACGGGAUAAGCGCUGAAAGCAUCUAAGCGUGAAGCCCCCCUCAAGAUGAGAUUUCCCAGUAUGUAAGACCCCUUGUAGACCACGAGGUUGAUAGGUUUGAGGUGGAAGUGCAGCAAUGUAUGGAGCUGACAAAUACUAAUCGGUCGAGGGCUUACCCCAA